rnacentral:rRNA from 1 species
UAGGGAAUCUUCGGCAAUGGGGGCAACCCUGACCGAGCAACGCCGCGUGAGUGAAGAAGGUUUUCGGAUCGUAAAGCUCUGUUGUAAGAGAAGAACGAGUGUGAGAGUGGAAAGUUCACACUGUGACGGUAACUUNNNAGAAAGGGACGGCUAACUACGUGCCAGCAGCCGCGGUAAUACGUAGGUCCCGAGCGUUAUCCGGAUUUAUUGGGCGUAAAGCGAGCGCAGGCGGUUAGAUAAGUCUGAAGUUAAAGGCUGUGGCUUAACCAUAGUACGCUUUGGAAACUGUUUAACUUGAGUGCAGAAGGGGAGAGUGGAAUUCCAUGUGUAGCGGUGAAAUGCGUAGAUAUAUGGAGGAACACCGGUGGCGAAAGCGGCUCUCUGGUCUGUAACUGACGCUGAGGCUCGAAAGCGUGGGGAGCAAACAGGAUUAGAUACCCUGGUAGUCCACGCCGUAAACGAUGAGUGCUAGGUGUUGGGUCCUUUCCGGGACUCAGUGCCGCAGCUAACGCAUUAAGCACUCCGCCUGGGGAGUACGACCGCAAGGUUG